GUGACUUGUAAGGACUAGUCCUGCCAAAGAAGUAUCCUUGACAUUGAGAAACGGCUCCUGUCACGUUGGCGAACUUCGGAAAUAUUGUUAGGAGGCACAAUGCUAUUUAAAUAGAACCAACAGGAUUGCAGAUGAGAUGACGACGCGUUUAUUUAAUUUGAGAAAUAAAUCGGUAAAAUAGGUUUUAUUUUCUGGUGGAUAUGAACCAACAGUACACCAUUAGGUCCUACUGGAAGAAGGCCUUCGUGGUGGCAUUAUUUGCCCGUUGGAUUCAUUCAUGCUGCUUUUCAUUUUAUUAGUUGAAGAUUCUUCUAACUUUAGCUCUGAGUGGAUUCACAGUUUGAGCCCAGUUCACCUGCUGAGAGGGCAUAUGGUGGCUUUCUGUUGAAGAGAGGAGGGAUCACUUAUGGAUGAAACAGGCAAGAGAGGAAAUAAAUGAAGAACAUAAAGAAGAUUCCCAGUUGGUCCUUGCAGAUGAGGUGAAAGAAGAAUAGACUGGUGUUGUUCCUCGUCCCUUUUGAACAGGCAAAUAUUUUAUAAACACUCUAUGAGGCGGUUUCCCGAACAGGGGUUAUCUUAAGCCAGGACUAGGCCUUAGUUAAAUUAGGAAAUUUAAGUCAUUUUUAAAAGCAUAAUUUAUACAUAAACAUUACUGGUGUGUAUCUUGAGACACAAC